AACCGUUAGUGAGACGUAUCUAUGGAAACGGGUGAUACUAACUAAGGUUGUGUGCUGCCACUGGUCGGCCAAUUUAAUUUGUUUGAUUGCUUAGUUUAUUGAAGUGCAACCUAGCUAAUUUAUCAAAGUUAACGCGGCGUUAUCUUACUAGAGAUAGAGAAUAUAUUUAGUUAGCCUAUAAGCGAAGUUUAUACAAGCAGUGACGCGUAAUCAACCAACCGUGUUAAAGCAUGGAUAUUUCCGUAUGUCAGAAUGCUGCCCUUAUCCAUGUGAACCAGUUUUGGUCCAUGCUGGAUGAUAUGGCCCAAAAUAAUCCUGACGAGUACAAGACUUUCAUCGAGCGCCAUAUGCAAGCCAGCGCCAACUGUUUUUCACCCCCUGCGCCGAACAGCUGCCUCCGCGCACUUGUACAGCCACAUGAUGAGGUACUGUAUGUGAACGUGUGCGGUUGGAAGCGAGUGCCUGCACCGGCCUCUCCAACUCAACCUGUUCCUCUGUGUGGUGGAAAACUGGAGACCUUUUCUGAACGCGAAGAGAAUUACCAUAUAGUUGAGGUGGCCUUCAACCCAGAGGUUCUUCAAAGAGCAAAGAAAAACCCACAAGAAAAGGAGCAGAUACACCUUUUGGCUCUCAACUUCAUCCAGAAACAGCAUAAGCUGAGCCUGUCGCAAUGCUUCACUGUCAUGAAGGCCAAACUAAAGGGCACUGUACAGGAUAUGAAACACCGGCUAAUGUCACUACCAAAUCAGACCAAAUCCAGUACAUUAAACCAGGAUAACCCACAAACUAAACCAGCCCAGUCAUUGCUUCAUCAGAUCUGCUCACUACAAAUGGGAGAAGUAACAGAGGAGUACAGCAUUCAGCUGAAUCAGGGGCAGGAGGACAAAGACAAGGCCAAGCCAGGUCUGAUUGAGGUGAUCUCUAGCACUGAAUUUGUUGAACCUCAGCAGCCAAAACAUCAGAUGACAGUUUGCUCACUGAGCAGUGACUCAGUUAGGAGGAUAAAGCUGCGUGUAGAACUGCCUGGAAUAAGCUCUGUCUCCCAGUGCCAGCUCAGCAUCAGCCAGGAUGAUAUACUGCUGGAAGUGGAGCAGAUGUAUUUUCUUCAUCUUCAUUUUCCUGAGCAAGUGAAAGAGGAAACAUGCCAUGCAACAUUCAACAAGAAGAAACACAUACUGACUGUUACAGCAUCUGUACAGUAAAUUCAAUAAGUAGCUUUCCAACAAACCAUUAUCUACUGUACACACUCAUUUUCACCUCCAUGAUGUUAAUCUAUAUACAGUAUGUUACCUGCCUUCACUAUGGUCUUCUUCCACCCAAG